rnacentral:tRNA from 1 species
GCCCCAUUGGCGCAGUGAAAUGCGCGCUGGACUUCUAAUCCAGAGGACAUGGGUUCGAAUCCCAUUGGGGUGCA